rnacentral:rRNA from 1 species
AAGUCUGGUGCCAGCAGCCGCGGUAACUUCAGCUCCAAUAGCGUAUAUUAACAUUGUUGCAUUUAAAAAGCUCGUAGUUGAAUUUAUUUUUAUAAAUUUUAUAUAAGUAAUAUUAUUUUAUAAUAAAAUUAUUUAAAUUUAUUUUUUAUAAUUUUAUUAUAUAUUAAACGGUAAUAUUAUUUAUAAUUUAUAAAAAAAUUUUAUGUUAUAUUAUUUAGUAAUAGAUAAUAUAAUAUAAAUAUUACUGUGAAAAAAUUAGAGCGUUUAAAGCAUGUAUAUAAAAUUAAAAAAUAUAUUUUCUGAAUAUAUUUUUUUAGCUUGAAUAUAUUAGCAUGGAAUAAUAAUAUUAUAAUAUUUUUAUAUUAUUUUGUUGGUUAAAUAUAAAAAUAUAUGAUUAAUAGGGACAAUUGGGGGUAUUUAUAUUUCAUAGUCAGAGGUGAAAUUCUGGGAUUUAUGAAAGAUAAACAAAUGCGAAAGCAUUUACCAAACAUGUUUUCAUUAAUCAAGAACGAAAGUUAGGGGAUCAAAGAGGCUUAGAUACCCUCGUAG